UACAGAGGUCUCAAGCGUUGUUCGGAUUCAUUGGGCGUAAAGGGUGCGUAGGCGGCCUGAUAAGUAGGGGGUGAAAUCCUGCGGCUUAACCGCAGGGCUGCCUUCUAAACUGUCAGGCUAGAGCACAGUAGAGGCAGGUGGAAUUCCCGGUGUAGCGGUGGAAUGCGUAGAGAUCGGGAAGAACAUCAGUGGCGAAGGCGGCCUGCUGGGCUGUUGCUGACGCUGAGGCGCGACAGCGUGGGGAGCAAACAGG
rnacentral:rRNA from 1 species